CAGUCGCCACGGUAAUACGAAGGGGGCUAGCGUUGCUCGGAAUUACUGGGCGUAAAGCGUGCGCAGGCGGUUGUGUAAGACAGGUGUGAAAUCCCCGGGCUUAACCUGGGAACUGCGCUUGUGACUGCACAGCUAGAGUAUGGCAGAGGGGGGUGGAAUUCCACGUGUAGCAGUGAAAUGCGUAGAGAUAUGGAGGAACACCGAUGGCGAAGGCAGCCCCCUGGGCCAAUACUGACGCUCAUGCACGAAAGCGUGGGGAGCAAACAGGAUUAGAUACCCGCGUAGUCCCUGUCUCUUAUAA
rnacentral:rRNA from 1 species